rnacentral:rRNA from 1 species
UGCUGGGGGGGGGGGGCGCGAGGUGGGAUGGGCACGAUGCGGGCGUGAGGGAUGACCCUUCGGUUGUAACCUUUCAGCGGAGGAAAGUGACGGUACCUGCAAGAAGCGCCGCUAAUACGUGCCAGCAGCGCGGUAAUACGUAGGGCGCGAGCGUUCCGGAAUUAUGGGCGUAAAGAGCUUGUAGGCGGUUUGUCGCGUCUGCUGUGAAAGCCCGGGGCUUAACCCCGGGUUUGCAGUGGGUACGGGCAGACUAGAGUGCAGUAGGGGAGACUGGAAUUCCUGGUGUAGCGGUGAAAUGCGCAGAUAUCAGGAGGAACACCAAUGGCGAAGGCAGGUCUCUGGGCUGUAACUGACGCUGAGAAGCGAAAGCAUGGGGAGCGAACAGGAUUAGAUACCCUGGUAGUCCAUGCCGUAAACGUUGGGCACUAGGUGUGGGGAACAUUCCACGUUUUCCGCGCCGUAGCUAACGCAUUAAGUGCCCCGCCUGGGGAGUACGGCCGCAAGGCUAAAACUCAAAGAAAUUGACGGGGGCCCGCACAAGCGGCGGAGCAUGCGGAUUAAUUCGAUGCAACGCGAAGAACCUUACCAAGGCUUGACAUAUACUAGACCGCCUCAGAGAUGGGGUUUCCCUUCGGGGCUGGUAUACAGGUGGUGCAUGGUUGUCGUCAGCUCGUGUCGUGAGAUGUUGGGUUAAGUCCCGCAACGAGCGCAACCCUCGUUCUAUGUUGCCAGCACGUAAUGGUGGGGACUCAUAGGAGACUGCCGGGGUUAACUCGGAGGAAGGUGGGGAUGACGUCAAAUCAUCAUGCCCCUUAUGUCUUGGGCUUCACGCAUGCUACAAUGGCCGGUACAAAGGGUUGCGAUACUGUGAGGUUGAGCUAAUCCCAAAAAGCCGGUCUCAGUUCGGAUUGGGGUCUGCAACUCGACCCCAUGAAGUCGGAGUCGCUAGUAAUCGCAGAUCAGCAACGCUGCGGUGAAUACGUUCCCGGGCCUUGUACACACCGCCCGUCAAGUCGUAGAAAUUCCAGGCCCCCCCAUGAAUAGGGGGAAAAGCGGAAUUCGGCACCCAAGUUCCUUGGUCUCCCAGUGUAUUUGUGUCUCCCCAGGAGGGCUUGUCAGGAUACUUGCAGCUCAGAGCCCUGCUCGGGUUGGAAUAUUCAUUUCACCCGCUCACAGAAAUUCCAAUCUCCCCUUGCGUAGUGGGGCCAACUGCAAACCCGGUUAAGGGCCCGGGCUUUCACAGCAGACGCGACAAACCGCCUACAAGCUCUUUACGCCCAAUAAUUCCGGACAACGCUUGCGCCUACUUACCGCGGCUGCUGGCACGUAGUUAGCCGGCGCUUCUUCUGCAGGUACCGUCACUUUCGCUUCUCCCCUGCUGAAAGAGGUUUACAACCCGAAGGCCGUCAUCCCUCACGCGGCGUCGCUGCAUCAGGCUUGCGCCCAUUGUGCAAUAUUCCCCACUGCUGCCUCCCGUAGGAGUCUGGGCCGUGUCUCAGUCCCAGUGUGGCCGGUCACCCUCUCAGGCCGGCUACCCGUCGUCGCCUUGGUGAGCCGUUACCUCACCAACAAGCUGAUAGGCCGUGAGCCCAUCUAAAACCAGUACAAAAUCCCUUUCCACCAACACCUCAUGCGAAGGUUGGUCGUAUCCGGUAUUAGACCCCGUUUCCAAGGCUUAUCCCAGAGUUAAAGGCAGGUUACUCACGUAUUACUCACCCGUUCCUAAUGACGUCCUGCCGGAAACC